rnacentral:rRNA from 1 species
UACGGAGGGUGCAAGCGUUGUCCGGAUUUAUUGGGUUUAAAGGGUGCGUAGGCGGCCCGUUAAGUCAGUGGUGAAAGCCUCCAGCUCAACUGGAGAACUGCCAUUGAUACUGGCGGGCUUGAGUACAGACGAGGUUGGCGGAAUUGAUUGUGUAGCGGUGAAAUGCAUAGAUAUCGAGAGGAACACCGGUGGCGAAGGCGGCUUUCUGGACGAUAACUGACGCUGAGACGCGAAAGCGUGGGGAGCAAACAGG